rnacentral:rRNA from 1 species
CCCUUCGAUGUCCUGGGCUACACGCGCGCUACACUGAUACAUGCAUCAAGCAGUUCAAUUUACACACGGUCUUCUGGACUGUGUUGACACCUUUGCUGAUAAGCUUGGGGAAUCCUUGAACUUGUAUCGUGAUGGGGAUAGAUGAUUGCAAUUAUUCAUCUUCAACGAGGAAUUCCUAGUAAACGCGGCUCAUCAAGCCGCAUUGAAUACGUCCCUGCCCUUUGUACACACCGCCCGUCGCUGCUACCGAUUGAAUGGUUCAGCAAGCUCUACAGACUGGCUGCACCGAUGUCUUGAUUGAUGUUGGACUUGUGCCGGGAAGUGGCGCAAACUUGACCAUUUAGAGGAAGCAAAAGUCGUANCA